rnacentral:rRNA from 1 species
CCUGGAGGCCUUAGCGCGGUGGUCCCACAUGACCCCAUGCCGAACUCAGAAGUGAAACGCCGUAGCGCCGAUG